UGUGAAUCCCCAAUAUAACCUAAAACCCACGAUUGAAUAUUAUCGUCUGCGUACCUUCUUCUCCAACGCUAAUUCAUCAAACAGGAUUCUUUCGAUCGGCUUCCCUGUAUCUAACCAUGAGCGCAAUCCAUCUGCUCCGCAAAUUAUCCAGGAGGCCUCCUUCUCGCCUUCACAGAAACCUCUUGUCCUCCACCUUUUCCAUGGAUUUACCUCCAGAUUUGGCGCGAACCACCUUAAUUCGUCCCUUCUCGAACCGUCCUACCAUAUUCAACAACACCCACAGAUUGAUUCCUUCGUGUUUUCGACAGUUGAAUCUCUUACCAAAUUGGGUUUCCGAAAAGAAGAAGAGUAUCAGCGUUUCAUUGAGAGAAUUUUCAAUAUCAGUAGUGGAAACCAAUACCAGCGACAAGACUUUCGAGAGAGUUGUUGGUCUUAAUCCGAAUCCACUGGUCAUCGAAAGGAUACACAAUGGCGAAGAAACCAUAGGCGAAUCAGUUUCUGGAGGAGAGAUCAUCGGUAACAAGAUUGAGAAAUCUGAAGAAACUCUAGUUAGGGAAGAGAGCGAGGCUGAGAAGGAAGCGUGGAGGAUUCUUGAAGACGCCGUCGUUAGGUAUUGUGGUUCGCCGGUGGGGACGGUGGCGGCCAACGAUCCCGGAGAUAAGUUGCCUUUGAAUUAUGAUCAAGUUUUUAUAAGAGACUUUGUGCCUUCUGCUUUGGCUUUUUUGCUUAAAGGAGAAGGAGAGAUUGUUAGAAACUUUCUCCUCCAUACAUUACAGCUUCAGAGUUGGGAGAAAACGGUAGACUGUUACAGUCCUGGACAAGGCUUAAUGCCUGCAAGUUUCAAAGUCAGAACCGUGGCACUUGAUGAGAACACUACCGAAGAGGUUCUCGACCCAGAUUUUGGUGAAUCUGCUAUUGGUCGUGUUGCUCCUGUGGAUUCUGGUUUGUGGUGGAUUAUUCUCUUAAGGGCAUAUGGGAAGUUAACAGGAGAUUUCUCAUUACAAGAGAGGAUUGAUGUUCAGACAGGGAUAAAGCUCAUCAUGAACUUGUGUCUAGCGGAUGGAUUUGAUAUGUUUCCAACACUUCUUGUCACCGAUGGUUCUUGUAUGAUUGAUCGUCGAAUGGGUAUCCAUGGCCAUCCCCUCGAAAUCCAAUCGUUAUUCUACUCGGCACUCAGAUGCUCCCGCGAGAUGCUUUCUGUUAACGACAGCUCCAACAAUCUUGUAAGAGCCAUUAACAACAGAUUAAGUGCUUUGUCCUUUCAUAUCAGAGAAUACUACUGGGUGGACAUAAGGAAGAUCAAUGAGAUAUACCGUUACAAGACAGAAGAGUAUUCAACUGAUGCUACUAACAAGUUCAACAUCUAUCCUGAGCAAAUUCCUCCAUGGCUCAUGGACUGGAUUCCCGAGCAAGGCGGGUAUCUCCUCGGGAACCUACAGCCCGCACACAUGGAUUUCAGAUUCUUCACCCUUGGGAACUUCUGGUCUGUAGUUUCCUCCUUGAGUACACCGAAGCAGAAUGAAGCUAUAUUGAACUUAAUUGAAGCUAAAUGGGACGACAUUAUUGGCAAUAUGCCUCUUAAGAUUUGUUACCCCGCGUUGGAGUAUGAUGAUUGGCGUAUAAUCACAGGAAGCGAUCCAAAGAACACGUGACUUUCGCUUACACACUUUACUUUAUCCUCCGAGCACUCUCUUGAUCCGAUGGCCUUGGUCGUAUCACAACAGUGGAUCCUGGCCAACGCUUCUUUGGCAGUUCACAUUGGCAUGUAUGAAGAUGGGUAGACCAGAGCUAGCUGAGAAAGCUCUUGCAUUGGCUGAGAAGAGACUUAUGGCAGAUCGUUGGCCCGAGUAUUACGACACCCGAUCUGGAAAAUUCAUUGGGAAGCAGUCUCGUCUUUACCAGACAUGGACAGUCGCUGGAUUCUUGACCUCUAAACUCCUCUUGGCCAAUCCUGAGAUGGCGUCCAAGUUAUUCUGGGAAGAAGAUUACGAACUUCUGGAUAUAUGUGUCUGUGGUCUCAGCAAAUCUGGUCGGAAAAAAUGCUCUCGAGUAGCUGCCAAGACUCAGAUUCUUGUCCGAUGAGUGUUAAACAGAAUUUUUUUGCUUUUCUCAACGUUUCAACCGCAGUUAGCUUCUAUAGGCUAAGAUAUUACGAGACUUUCAUAUUUACAGAAACAUGACUGUCACAUAUAAUAUUGAUUAUCUAUCUGUUUGUAUAUAUAUAUAUAUAUACUAUUUUCAUAA